GAACGCUAGCUACAGGCUUAACACAUGCAAGUCGAGGGGCAGCAUGGUCUUAGCUUGCUAAGGCCGAUGGCGACCGGCGCACGGGUGAGUAACACGUAUCCAACCUGCCGUCUACUCUUGGACAGCCUUCUGAAAGGAAGAUUAAUACAAGAUGGCAUCAUGAGUCCGCAUAUUCACAUGAUUAAAGGUAUUCCGGUAGACGAUGGGGAUGCGUUCCAUUAGAUAGUAGGCGGGGUAACGGCCCACCUAGUCUUCGAUGGAUAGGGGUUCUGAGAGGAAGGUCCCCCACAUUGGAACUGAGACACGGUCCAAACUCCUACGGGAGGCAGCAGUGAGGAAUAUUGGUCAAUGGGCGAGAGCCUGAACCAGCCAAGUAGCGUGAAGGAUGACUGCCCUAUGGGUUGUAAACUUCUUUUAUAAAGGAAUAAAGUCGGGUAUGGAUACCCGUUUGCAUGUACUUUAUGAAUAAGGAUCGGCUAACUCCGUGCCAGCAGCCGCGGUAAUACGGAGGAUCCGAGCGUUAUCCGGAUUUAUUGGGUUUAAAGGGAGCGUAGAUGGAUGUUUAAGUCAGUUGUGAAAGUUUGCGGCUCAACCGUAAAAUUGCAGUUGAUACUGGAUAUCUUGAGUGCAGUUGAGGCAGGCGGAAUUCGUGGUGUAGCGGUGAAAUGCUUAGAUAUCACGAAGAACUCCGAUUGCGAAGGCAGCCUGCUAAGCUGCAACUGACAUUGAGGCUCGAAAGUGUGGGUAUCAAACAGGAUUAGAUACCCUGGUAGUCCACACGGUAAACGAUGAAUACUCGCUGUUUGCGAUAUACUGCAAGCGGCCAAGCGAAAGCGUUAAGUAUUCCACCUGGGGAGUACGCCGGCAACGGUGAAAACUCAAAGGAAUUGACGGGGGCCCGCACAAGCGGAGGAACAUGUGGUUUAAUUCGAUGAUACGCGAGGAACCUUACCCGGGCUUAAAUUGCAGAUGAAUUACGGUGAAAGCCGUAAGCCGCAAGGCAUCUGUGAAGGUGCUGCAUGGUUGUCGUCAGCUCGUGCCGUGAGGUGUCGGCUUAAGUGCCAUAACGAGCGCAACCCUUGUUGUCAGUUACUAACAGGUUCCGCUGAGGACUCUGACAAGACUGCCAUCGUAAGAUGUGAGGAAGGUGGGGAUGACGUCAAAUCAGCACGGCCCUUACGUCCGGGGCUACACACGUGUUACAAUGGGGGGUACAGAGGGCCGCUACCACGCGAGUGGAUGCCAAUCCCCAAAACCUCUCUCAGUUCGGACUGGAGUCUGCAACCCGACUCCACGAAGCUGGAUUCGCUAGUAAUCGCGCAUCAGCCACGGCGCGGUGAAUACGUUCCCGGGCCUUGUACACACCGCCCGUCAAGCCAUGGGAGCCGGGGGUACCUGAAGUGCGUAACCGCGAGGAGCGCCCUAGGGUAAAACUGGUGACUGGGGC
rnacentral:rRNA from 1 species